rnacentral:lncRNA from 1 species
UGAGAUCACAGCAAAGAGAAGAGCUUCACACUCCAGCAAUGCCUUUGAAGGUCACCAAUGUCACUUAGGUAAUUUCUCCCUUCUCUUCCCAUUGUAGCCCCAAUGAAUGUCAAAUUUUUAGAAGAUGACAGCAUAAAUUCAGAAAAGGAUGGUAGAUAUUGAAUCAAACAUCAAAGCAUAGAAGAAAUGUGAUAACCUGAAUCUGAGAAGCCAAGGAAAAGAGGAAGCCUCUUGGAAAAGAGGCUAAGCUAAGAAGGUAGAAAGGAGAAGAAAAGGGCAGCAGGCUAAACCGCUGGUGAGAGAGAACCUUCGUGGCUUGUCUGGUCUGAACUGUACCAAGAGCUGCACCGGAAGUGCUGUUAACCAGGAAGAUGGUGAGAUCGUCUCUGGAGACAGGGUGCAGGUCAAGAGGUACUUCCUCAGCAAGAGUAUGAGUCCAGACACAGGUCACGUAAAAAUGGGAUGCUUCCUGGCCCUCCCGCUCAGUGGGUGGAGCUGUCACAUGACCAGGCUUCCUUGGAUUCCUCUGCGAGCAGGGCAGAACCGUAGGAGAGAACAGCCGCAGAGGGAUGGGAGCUUGUUGCCUGGCUCCAGGCUCCUCUGCCAGCGCUCCCUGUCCACAGUUUGUAGCCGAAUGACUGAAGACCCAGCCUGGUUGUCAGAUCUGGCGUCUUGUCUCACUGCUGUACCUAACUGGUUAAGAUAACUCUCUAAACGUCUGUAAGUUCAGUUUUACUGUGAAUAAAAACGAGCAUCCUAACA